AAUUUAUUUUCUAAGAUCAGAAAAUCCCUAGAUCUAAGAUCUUAUUACAUGAUUAUUACAUAGCAUUAAAUCAAAAAUUAAAAUAUAUAUAAAUAUAGUAUGAACUACAUGUUGAUCAUAUCAACAUGUUUCUAUACUAGCUACAUCUAAUGUAUGUAUUAAAUAAUAGAUCAGAUCUAUUACCUUGCAAGUUAGACGCUCUAACCUCGUUGAUCCGGGCUUAAGGAUGAUGUUGCAAGCCGCACAC
rnacentral:lncRNA from 1 species